rnacentral:rRNA from 1 species
AGCAUAUCAAUAAGCGGAGGAAAAGAAACCAACAGGGAUUGCCCUAGUAACGGCGAGUGAAGCGGCAACAGCUCAAAUUUGAAAUCUGGCCCUCGGGUCCGAGUUGUAAUUUGUAGAGGAUGCUUUUGGUGAGGUGCCUUCCGAGUUCCCUGGAACGGGACGCCAUAGAGGGUGAGAGCCCCGUCUGGUUGGAUACCGAACCUCUGUAAAGCUCCUUCGACGAGUCGAGUAGUUUGGGAAUGCUGCUCUAAAUGGGAGGUAUAUGUCUUCUAAAGCUAAAUACCGGCCAGAGACCGAUAGCGCACAAGUAGAGUGAUCGAAAGAUGAAAAGCACUUUGAAAAGAGAGUUAAAAAGUACGUGAAAUUGUUGAAAGGGAAGCGCUUAUGACCAGACUUGGGCUUGGUUGAUCAUCCUGGGUUCUCCCUGGUGCACUCUUCCAGUUCAGGCCAGCAUCAGUUCGCUGCGGGGGAUAAAAGUUUUGGGAAUGUGGCUCCCUCGGGAGUGUUAUAGCCCAUUGCAUAAUACCCUGCUCCGGACUGAGGUUCGCGCAUCUGCAAGGAUGCUGGCGUAAUGGUCAUCAGCGACCCGUCUUGAAACACGGACCAAGGAGUCGUCUUCGUAUGCGAGUGUUCGGGUGUUAAACCCCUACGCGUAAUGAAAGUGAACGCAGGUGAGAGCUUCGGCGCAUCAUCGACCGAUCCUGAUGUUCUCGGAUGGAUUUGAGUAAGAGCAUACGGGGCCGGACCCGAAAGAAGGUGAACUAUGCCUGUAUAGGGUGAAGCCAGAGGAAACUCUGGUGGAGGCUCGCAGCGGUUCUGACGUGCAAAUCGAUCGUCAAAUAUGGGCAUGGGGGCGAAAGACUAAUCGAACCUUCUAGUAGCUGGUUUCCGCCGA